rnacentral:rRNA from 1 species
CCUACGGGUGGCAGCAGUGAGGAAUAUUGGUCAAUGGGCGCGAGCCUGAACCAGCCAAGUAGCGUGAAGGAUGACUGCCCUAUGGGUUGUAAACUUCUUUUAUAAAGGAAUAAAGCGAGGCACGUGUGCCUUUUUGCAUGUACUUUAUGAAUAAGGAUCGGCUAACUCCGUGCCAGCAUCCGCGGUAAUACGGAGGAUCCGAGCGUUAUCCGGAUUUAUUGGGUUUAAAGGGAGCGUAGAUGGGUUGUUAAGUCAGUUGUGAAAGUUUGCGGCUCAACCGUAAAAUUGCAAUUGAUACUGGCAGCCUUGAGGACAGUUGAGGUAGGCGGAAUUCGUGGUGUAGCGGUGAAAUGCUUAGAUAUCACGAAGAACCCCGAUUGCGAAGGCAGCUUACUAAACUGUGACUGACAUUGAUGUUCGAAAGUGUGGGUAUCAAACAGGAUUAGAUACCCGAGUAGUC